GACGAACGCUGGCGGCGUGCUUAACACAUGCAAGUCGAACGGAAAGGCCCCUUUGGGGGUACUCGAGUGGCGAACGGGUGAGUAACACGUGAGUAACCUGCCCUUGACUUCGGGAUAACUUCAGGAAACUGGGGCUAAUACCGGAUAGGAAUCCUUGCUGCAUGGUGGGGGUUGGAAAGCUUCGGCGGUUUUGGAUGGACUCGCGGCUUAUCAGCUUGUUGGUGGGGUAGUGGCUUACCAAGGCUUUGACGGGUAGCCGGCCUGAGGGGGCGACCGGCCACAGUGGGACUGAGAUACGGCCCAGACGCCUACGGGAGGCAGCAGUGGGGAAUAUUGCACAAGGGGCGGAAGCCUGAUGCAGCAACGCCGCGGGCGGGAUGACGGCCUUCGGGUUGUAAACCGCUUUCAGCAGGGGCGAAGCUUGUGGUGACGGUACCUGCAGAAGAAGCACCGGCUAACUACGUG
rnacentral:rRNA from 1 species